AUACGUAGGGGGCGAGCGUUGUCCGGAAUGAUUGGGCGUAAAGGGCGCGUAGGCGGCCCGGUAAGUCUGGAGUGAAAGUCCUGUUUUUAAGAUGGGAAUUGCUUUGGAUACUGUCGGGCUUGAGUGCAGGAGAGGAAAGUGGAAUUCCCAGGGUAGCGGUGAAAUGCGUAGAGAUUGGGAGGAACACCAGUGGCGAAGGCGACUUACUGGACUGUAACUGACGCUGAGGCGCGAAAGUGUGGGGAGCAAACAGGAUUAGAUACCCUGGUAGUCCACACUGUAAACGAUGAAUGCUAGGUGUAGGGGGUAUCGACCCCUUCUGUGCCGCAGUCAACACAAUAAGCAUUCCGCCUGGGGAGUACGGCCGCAAGGUUGAAACUCAAAGGAAUUGACGGGG
rnacentral:rRNA from 1 species